rnacentral:lncRNA from 1 species
CAAAGAGAUUGUAAAUGUCAAGAGGGCAAGAAUAGUUCUUUAUUUUCCACUUUAUUUCCUAUAUUGUUAAGGACAAGUGUCUUUAAUAACUACCUAAUAAUGAGUGAAUGAGGCAGUGAUAAUGACCCGUAAAGCAAUGGAAAUGAUAGUUGAAACCAUCAAAUCACUUUCUAAUGUUGACAGAAUCUGAAGUGACAGGUUGGUGGAAAAAAAGACUUCUGAGUUCAAAUCUCAUUUCCAUAAUACUCCAUGAAAUUAUCACUUAAAAGAAAACAUAGUCUGUAAUUACAUGAAUCAUUUUGAAAGUGAUUAAAAACUUCCUGUUCUGGCAGCUUUUAAAUUUCCCCGUCUGGUCUCUCUAGGGCAGAAACCCAUUUUCUGAAACUCCUCUGCACAGUGCCUGACAUGAAGAAAUCAGGUCCCCUAUGAUUAGCAUCAGUCUAGGAAUUCAGGCAGAUCUAUCGCCCUUUUCAAAACACCCUGCAACCAUGCUUCACUUUGCUAAUGAUGUAUGUAAUUAGAGACUAGAGAUGGAGCCAUUAAGGAUCAAGCUUUCUAAAAUCUCUGAGCCCCCAGAUGCUAAGUUAUUAACUUUUUUGGCCAGUAGCCCUGCAGCAUCUAAUAAAGAAAAAUUGAGCCUAAGAAGUGUAAUAUUGGGUGAAAUGCCUACAUUUUAGAAGCAACGG